rnacentral:rRNA from 1 species
AGGGCACCACCAGGAGUGGAGCCUGCGGCUUAAUUUGACUCAACACGGGGAAACUCACCAGGUCCAGACACAAUAAGGAUUGACAGAUUGAGAGCUCUUUCUUGAUUUUGUGGGUGGUGGUGCAUGGCCGUUCUUAGUUGGUGGAGUGAUUUGUCUGCUUAAUUGCGAUAACGAACGAGACCUUAACCUACUAAAUAGCGCGACUAGCUUUUGCUGGUGCUGACGCUUCUUAGAGGGACUAUCGAUUUCAAGUCGAUGGAAGUUUGAGGCA